UGGAGGAACGCUCGUCGCCGGAACAUGGAAGAGAACUGCUCAGCGACUCUCAAGAACAGUUCCUGAAUCGCUGUCGUGUUGCCAAUGAAAGUCCCGGACAUCUUGUAGCCUGGAGGAGAAGCGGAGAGCGGGAAGAGGCACGUUAGUUCCCGAGUAGCAAGGGAACUCCUCUCGGAUCUUACUGAGCAGCAGCGUGCCCAUGCCAGACCCCGUGCCGCCCCCGAGGGAGUGAGCCAGCUGGAACCCCUGAAAUACACACAAGGCUCGAUGUGUACGCUGUCAUCUCCGUGCAGUGUACACUCACAUCCCGGCACUCCUAACAGAUGUCACUACUGCAUACAUUCAUUCAUUCCUAUCAUGACCUGGAUGUCGUGGGUUCCCUGGUACAGACCGCUGGGCUGAACGCCGUGCUCGUCACUAAUCACCUCCCAGAACUGAGGAGGAGAACCAGGCGCCGCAACAACCAGGGGACACAUGGCGCUACGAGAACCAGUGAGGAAUGCUCGGGUUUGGAACUGACUGGCUGAUGUAAAUUCGUCUGUAAUAAUCAAUAAUUUCCAG